GCACGUUUUGCCAGCCCAUAUAAUAAAUGCAACAGCACAGAGAAGAUUAGCAUGGCUCUUGGGCAGGGAUGACUCACAAAUUCAUGAAGCAGUCCACCAUGUU